AAACUGCGAAUGGCUCAUUAUAUCAGUUAUAGUUUAUUUGAUGAAGAGAUACUAAUUGGAUAACCGUAGUAAUUCUAGAGCUAAUACAUGUAUAAAGUCUUGUUGACUGCAUUUAUAAGAAUGAAAACCAUAGGUUUCGGCCUAUUCGUGAGUAAUAAUAACUAAUCAUAUCGUAUGCUUAUGUAACGAUGUGUCUUUCAAGUUUCUGCCCUAUCAGCUUUCGAUGGGAGUGUAUUGGACUACCAUGGGAGUAACGGGUAACAAAAAAUUUGGGUUCUAUUUCUGAGAG
rnacentral:rRNA from 1 species